CAUGCAAGUCGAGCGGAGUUUUGAAAAGCUUGCUUUUCAAAACUUAGCGGCGGACGGGUGAGUAACACGUGGGCAACCUGCCCUUGAGACGGGGAUAACUCCGGGAAACCGGAGCUAAUACCGGAUAACACAUAUCUUCGCAUGAAGAUAUGUUAGAAGGUGGCUUUUAGCUACCACUCAAGGAUGGGCCCGCGGCGCAUUAGCUAGUUGGUGAGGUAACGGCUCACCAAGGCGACGAUGCGUAGCCGACCUGAGAGGGUGAUCGGCCACACUGGGACUGAGACACGGCCCAGACUCCUACGGGAGGCAGCAGUGGGGAAUAUUGGACAAUGGGCGAAAGCCUGAUCCAGCCAUGCCGCGUGAGUGAUGAAGGCCCUAGGGUUGUAAAGCUCUUUCACCGGUGAAGAUAAUGACGGUAACCGGAGAAGAAGCCCCGGCUAACUUCGUGCCAGCAGCCGCGGUAAUACGAAGGUGGCAAGCGUUGUCCGGAAUUAUUGGGCGUAAAGCGCGCGCAGGCGGUUCCUUAAGUCUGAUGUGAAAGCCCACGGCUCAACCGUGGAGGGUCAUUGGAAACUGGGGAACUUGAGUGCAGAAGGGGAGAGCGGAAUUCCACGUGUAGCGGUGAAAUGCGUAGAGAUGUGGAGGAACACCAGUGGCGAAAGCGGCUCUCUGGUCUGUAACUGACGCUGA
rnacentral:rRNA from 1 species